CUUCAACGACCCCAGCCACAACGGCCGUUCCGCCGAACGGUCCUGACCAUAGGUGGCAAUCAACGCCUGCGCCUC
rfam:Streptomyces sp. MP131-18 scaf_01, whole genome shotgun sequence.